CUCCACCGUGUUCCCAGACACCGUGCGGGUAAUUUCCGGAGCUGCACAUGAAAUACGCGAAGCCAGGCCAUUACCUCUCCCUGUCUGAGCCAUCAGCGAUCUUGGCAAAGAGCGCACUGCCUCCUUCUCAGAAACUUCCAGUGACCCGCGGAAAAGCAGGGGCUGGUGAUUGGUCCAGUCUUAUGGAGCCAAUGCAAUGAAUCUGAGGCUUGAAGAGUGACUUGCUGAAGUCCUAUGGCACCCACAUGUGCCCCAGGUCUUUGACUGUUGUGGAAGCUGCUCCAGUCCUUACCACACCUCGGUAGGAGAGGUCUUCGGACAACUUAGAGAUAAACACUUGUCAUCUCUUUUCUCAGAGAAUUCAGUGUGACUUGCUGUUGAGAAUUGUGACAGGAUGAUUUCGUAUUCUGUAGAGGUAUCAUAUGAAGAUGACCAAACCUGCCCUGGGAAAAUGCAACUGAAUGUAGAAAAUUACAAGAAAGGAAAACAGAAAAUACAAAUAUGCAAAUCCCAUGUACUCACGAGAUUGAUAUAUUUGAGCUUCCUCUGUGGCUGUGUUUCCCAGGAGCCAAAGAAAAAAAGGAGAAACAGGUUGUCAUUUACUCUCUGGAAAAUAGUAGUUCUUGAGCCAAAGAAAUCUUUUGCAAGAUUUAAAUCUCAGAAAAGUCUUUACCAUUUAUUCAGCAAGUAUUUAUUUACUGUGCAUCAGGUCCCACUCUGGCAUGGACAUAGUUGGGGAGGGAGAUGUAAAACAUCAUACUAUAUUGUGUAUAUCAUAAGAGGGAUCAAAACUGAGAUGGGUAAGAUGAUAAGAGAGAAUAUAGAAAAACUUGGCUUUUUGGGCAGUUAUGGAAUGUUUGGAGAAGGUGAUGUUGCAGUUGAGAAUGGGCUGGAGACAAUGUUUUAACAGUAUGGAGCACUGAAAGAACAGACAUUGUGUUCAGCAAGAACAGCAGAAGCAAAGGCCCUGAGGCUGGUAAGAACUUGCUACAUUCCAGAAACUUCAGGAAGGACAGUGUGAGCUAGAGAGGGCAAGGAGAAUAGCCUGAGAUGAGCCCUGAGAGUAGGAAGGAAGAGACUCCCAACCCAUCCCUACCCCUUAGAGCCUUCCUGGUCUUGUUAAGAUGUGGUCUUUACCCUGGAGAGAGCCAUUAAGGUUCUGCAGGAUUUCAAGCAAGAAAGUGGCUCAUCAGAUUUGGAGACCAUGAGGAGGUUAUGGAGCUGUCCUUGUCAGAGGUGAGAGUGAUCUAGAAAUGCAGGGAGAAAUGGAGAUACUCAAAAGAUUCUGGAAUUGGAAGUCCACUAGCUUGAUGCAGCUACAUCAGGGGAGGGCUGCUGCUGCACAGAGACAAGUGGUGGGUGAUGUUCCUCACAUCUCCCAAGUCCCAGAAGUCAACACUGUGGAAGAAAGGUGGGGUGGAAGUCUAGCCUUUAUGGAACUGGUUGAUAUGGUCCUUCCUGCCUCAAUUUGCUGGGUAAUAGGAGACACUGAGAGCAAACAUCCGUACACAAAGCCCAAAUGUGCAUGCUGCACAGUCACUACUGCUCACAUCUGGCAGUUUUCACAAAGCAAUUGGAAAAAAAAGUUAUUUUUGGUUCUUUUUUGUUAUAAUCAUGGGUGGUGGGGUUUGGUCUCCAUGGUAAAAGGAGCAGGCUUCUGGCAGAGCAAAGCAGCCACAGAUUUUCCUGAAUAAUGGGUCUCCCUCCAUGGACAAAGCCUGGGACUCCUCGAUGACUCACCUCUGAGGGGCUCAGCUUGUCUUGGGAUCCAAGAAAGGAAGAGAGCUGGCGCUAGGCCUGGUGACAUAGUGGCUUUUCACUCACUUUUUUGUCAUUGCCCCAGUGGGCACAUCUGCCCCCAGAAUUUGUCAGUUUGUGUGAAGAUACAAUGAAGAUUUGUUCCCUGUAUCCGAUGCGAUGACCUCAUACUUCUUUAAGGCAGAGUAAGAGCUGGGGCGUGGGAAGUAAGAAAUGAAUGAAGUGAAAUGGGCAGAUUAUAAAGUUAGAACUUCAUGUUGGGUAAAAUCUGGAAUGCCUCUUAUCUGGGAAACUAAAAAUCCAGGGCAUUAACCACGUUGGCAACAAGGAUCCAAGUUUCCUCCUGUUUAGCUAAUUUAAAAAGGAGUUAUGAACAUCCAAACCACUGGGGUGACGUGUGUAGACUUAUUUUCCU